rnacentral:rRNA from 1 species
GCAUUCCUUUAGUACGGCGAGUGAAGCGGGAAGAGCUCAAAUUUGAAAUCUUCAAGGUUUGACCUUGACGAAUUGUAGUUUAUAGAAGUGUUUUCUGUUGGAGUUUUGGUAAAAGUUCUUUGGAAUAGGACAUCAUAGAGGGUGAGAAUCCCGUAUUUGACCAUGACUUUCCAGCUGUGUGAUACACUUUCAAAGAGUCGGAUUGUUUGGGAAUGCAGUCCAAAAUGGGUGGUAAAUUUCAUCUAAAGCUAAAUAUUGGCGAGAGACCGAUAGCGAACAAGUACCGUGAGGGAAAGAUGAAAAGAACUUUGAAAAGAGAGUUAAACAGUACGUGAAAUUGUCAAAAGGGAAGCGUUUGACACCAGUGUUGUUUUCUCGAAAAUCAAUUUAAUGAGUUCUUGUUUUUAAGUUAUUGUGACUUUAUCAGCGCAUUUCUUAUUUUACUUGACUCAUUGAAUGCACUUUUCGUUUAACAAGUCAACAUCAAUUUCUUUGGUGGUAAAAAGUUUAAAGGAAGGUGGCUUGGACUUCGGUUCAAGUGUUUAUAGCCUUUUUUCUAUGCCAUCGGAGAGAUUGAGGUCUGCAGCGUAGAUCCUUCGGGGUUAGAUACCUUUGUGCUAAGUUAUAGUUUUUUAUAGACAACUUGUUGACUAUAAUUAACCCUGUAAUUUACUCGCUUAAGCUAUUUUACCUACGCUUAGGAUGUUGACAAAAUGGUUUUAAACGACCCGUCU